UGAGGGAAACAUAGAUUAUAAAUCACAGGAUAUUAUCUGAGCACUGCCUUCUUUUAACUACCGGGUUAGAGUGUGUCAGAAGGGAGGGGAGGGAAUUUCCAGCGUGUCGCAGUGAAAAUGGGUAGAUAUGCGGAGGAACACCGAUGGCGAAGGCAACCCUCCUGGGGAUAACACUGACGCUCAUGCACGAAAGCGUGGGGGAGCAAACAGGAUUAGAUACCCCUGGUAGUCCACGCCCUAAAACGAUGUCAACUAGCUGUUGGGGCCUUCGGGCCUUGGUAGGCGCAGCUAACGCGUGAAGUUGACCGCCUGGGGAGUACGGUCGCAAGAUUAAAACUCAAAGGAAUUGACGGGGACCCGCACAAGCGGUGGAUGAUGUGGAUUAAUUCGAUGCAACGCGAAAAACCUUACCUACCCUUGACAUGUCUGGAAUGCCGAAGAGAUUUGGCAGUGCUCGCAAGAGAACCGGAACACAGGUGCUGCAUGGCUGUCGUCAGCUCGUGUCGUGAGAUGUUGGGUUAAGUCCCGCAACGAGCGCAACCCUUGUCAUUAGUUGCUACGAAAGGGCACUCUAAUGAGACUGCCGGUGACAAACCGGAGGAAGGUGGGGAUGACGUCAAGUCCUCAUGGCCCUUAUGGGUAGGGCUUCACACGUCAUACAAUGGUCGGGACAGAGGGUCGCCAACCCGCGAGGGGGAGCCAAUCCCAGAAACCCGAUCGUAGUCCGGAUCGCAGUCUGCAACUCGACUGCGUGAAGUCGGAAUCGCUAGUAAUCGCGGAUCAGCAUGUCGCGGUGAAUACGUUCCCGGGUCUUGUACACACCGCCCGUCACACCAUGGGAGUGGGUUUUACCAGAAGUAGUUAGCCUAACCGCAAGGG
rnacentral:rRNA from 1 species